CCUACGGGAGCCAGCAGUGGGGGAUAUUGCACAAUGGGGGGAACUCUGAUGCAGCGACGCCGCGUGGGUGAAGAAGUGCCUCGGCGCGUAAAGCCCUGUCAGCAGGGAAGAAAAUGACGGUACCUGAAGAAGAAGCCCCGGCUAAAUACGUGCCAGCAGCCGCGGUAAUACGUAGGGGGCAAGCGUUAUCCGGAUUUACUGGGUGUAAAGGGGGCGCAGACGGCGAUGCAAGCCAGGAGUGAAAGCCCGGGGCUCAACCCCGGGACUGCUCUGGGAACUGCGUGGCUGGAGUGCAGGAGGGGCAGGCGGAAGUCGUGGUGUAGCGGUGAAAUGCGUAGAUAUCAGGAAGAACACCGAUGGCGAAGGCGGCCUGCUGGAGUGCAACUGACGUUGAGGCCCGAAAGCGUGGGGAGCAAACAGGAUUAGAUACCCUAGUAGUC
rnacentral:rRNA from 1 species